rnacentral:rRNA from 1 species
AGUGAACGCUGGCGGUAGGCCUAACACAUGCAAGUCGAACGGCAGCACAGUAAGAGCUUGCUCUUACGGGUGGCGAGUGGCGGACGGGUGAGGAAUACAUCGGAAUCUACUUUUUCGUGGGGGAUAACGUAGGGAAACUUACGCUCAUACCGCAUACGCCCUACGGUUGAAAGCAGGGGAUCUUCGGACCUUGCGCGAUUGAAUGAGCCGAUGUCGGAUUAGCUAGUUGGCGGGGUAAAGGCCCACCAAGGCGAGGAUCCGUAGCUGGUCUGAGAGAAUGGUCGGCCACACUGGAAGUGAGACACGGUCCAGACGCCUACGGGAGGCAGCAGUGGGGUAUAGUGGACAAUGGGCGCAAGCCUGAUCCAGCCAUACCGCGUGGGUUAAGAAGGCCUUCGGGUUGUAAAGACCUUUUGUUGGGAAAGAAAAGCAGCAGGUUAAUACCCCGCUGUUCUGACGGUACCCAAAGAAUAAGCACCGGCUAACUUCGUG